rnacentral:sRNA from 1 species
AAUUUAGAUCCUGGAGACAGUUGUUUCUCGACCUUCCUGCUUGGUGUGCCCAGUACCGUCACGUGUCCUAGUGGCUACUUCUGCAAUAGGAGCACCAACAAAUGCGAUCCAAUCAUAUUUUAACCUCACAGAUGUAUAAACGUGAAGACAUUUGGACCCACAUCAACAUUGACUUUCCUAUUCAUUCGAGAAAGUCUCUCUUUCAGGGACUCAGUAUUUCUUUGCGCUUUAUAUUUAAAUUUGUGUUUGAUUUUCAUGCCAGUGUGUCUGCAUCAUUGUCUAUGAGUUUGAGUUUGAGUAUGAAAUACGAGUAACUAAAUGUUAUACCUGAGACAUGAAAUAAAGCAGUUUUUUUUGUUUGUUUUUUUAAAAGCU